AUUGAACGCUGGCGGCAUGCCUUACACAUGCAAGUCGAACGGUAACAGGUCUUCGGAUGCUGACGAGUGGCGAACGGGUGAGUAAUACAUCGGAACGUGCCUAUUAGUGGGGGAUAACUACUCGAAAGAAUGGCUAAUACCGCAUGAGAUCUACGUAUGAAAGCAGGGGAUCGCAAGACCUUGUGCUACUAGAGCGGCCGAUGCCAGCUUAGGAAGUUGGUGGGAUAAAAGCUACCCAAGCCGACGAUCUGUAGCUGGUCUGAGAGGACGAUCAGGCACACUGGGACUGAGACACGGCCCAGACUCCUACGGGAGGCAGCAGUGGGGAAUUUUGGACAAUGGGCGCAAGCCUGAUCCAGCAAUGCCGCGUGCAGGAUGAAGGCCUUCGGGUUGUAAACUGCUUUUGUACGGAACGAAAAGCCCCAGGUUAAUAACCUGGUGUCAUGACGGUACCGUAAGAAUAAGCACCGGCUAACUACGUGCCAGCCGCCGCGGUAA
rnacentral:rRNA from 1 species